UUCUCCCUACGGGGCGCAGCAGUGGGGAAUAUUGGGCAAUGGGCGCAAGCCUGACCCAGCAACGCCGCGUGAAGGAAGAAGGCUUUCGGGUUGUAAACUUCUUUUAAGAGGGAAGAGCAGAAGACGGUACCUCUUGAAUAAGCCACGGCUAACUACGUGCCAGCAGCCGCGGUAAUACGUAGGUGGCAAGCGUUGUCCGGAUUUACUGGGUGUAAAGGGCGUGCAGCCGGGAGUGCAAGUCAGAUGUGAAAUCCCGCGGCUCAACCGCGGAACUGCAUUUGAAACUGUUAUUCUAGAGUAUGGGG
rnacentral:rRNA from 1 species